AUUGAACGCUGGCGGCAUGCCUUACACAUGCAAGUCGAACGGCAGCACGGGUGCUUGCACCUGGUGGCGAGUGGCGAACUGGUGAGUAAUACAUCGGAACAUGUCCUGUAGUGGGGGAUAGCCCGGCGAAAGCCGGAUUAAUACCGCAUACGAUCUACGGAUGAAAGCGGGGGACCUUCGGGCCUCGCGCUAUAGGGUUGGCCGAUGGCUGAUUAGCUAGUUGGUGGGGUAAAGGCCUACCAAGGCGACGAUCAGUAGCUGGUCUGAGAGGACGACCAGCCACACUGGGACUGAGACACGGCCCAGACUCCUACGGGAGGCAGCAGUGGGGAAUUUUGGACAAUGGGCGAAAGCCUGAUCCAGCAAUGCCGCGUGUGUGAAGAAGGCCUUCGGGUUGUAAAGCACUUUUGUCCGGAAAGAAAUCCUUGGCCCUAAUACGGUCGGGGGAUGACGGUACCGGAAGAAUAAGCACCGGCUAACUACGUG
rnacentral:rRNA from 1 species